UACGUAGGGGGCAAGCGUUGUCCGGAUUUAUUGGGCGUAAAGCGCUCGCAGGUGGUUCGUUGCGUCGUGCGUGAAAGGCCCCGGCUCAACUGGGGAGGGUCGUGCGAUACGGGCGGACUGGAGGCCAGUAGGGGGAUGCGGAAUUCCGGGUGUAGUGGUGGAAUGCGUAGAGAUCCGGAGGAACACCAGCGGCGAAGGCGGCAUCCUGGACUGGUCCUGACACUCAGGAGCGAAAGCUAGGGGAGCAAACAGG
rnacentral:rRNA from 1 species